rnacentral:rRNA from 1 species
UAGGGAAUUUUCCACAAUGGGCGAAAGCCUGAUGGAGCAACGCCGCGUGCAGGACGAAGGCCUUCGGGUUGUAAACUGCUUUUAUCUGUGACGAUUAUGACGGUAGCAGAUGAAUAAGGAUCGGCUAACUCCGUGCCAGCAGCCGCGGUCAUACGGAGGAUCCAAGCGUUAUCCGGAAUUACUGGGCGUAAAGAGUUGCGUAGGUGGCAUGGUAAGUCUGUAGUGAAAUCCUGGGGCUCAACCCCUUACCCAUUAUGGAAACUGCCAAGCUAGAGGAUGAGAGAGGUUAUUGGAAUUCCUAGUGUAGGAGUGAAAUCCGUAGAUAUUAGGAGGAACACCGAUGGCGUAGGCAGAUAACUGGCUCAUUCCUGACACUAAGGCACGAAAGCGUGGGGAGCGAACGGGAUUAGAUACCCCCGUAGUCC